rnacentral:rRNA from 1 species
CCCAGUUCGGAUUGUAGACUACAACCCGUCUGCAUGAAGCUGGAAUCGCUAGUAAUCGCGGAUCAGAAUGCCGCGGUGAAUACGUUCCCGGGUCUUGUACACACCGCCCGUCACACCAUGGGAGUUGGAAAUGCCCGAAGUCAGUGGCCCAACCGUAAGGAGGGAGCUGCCGAAGGCAGGUUCGGUAACCGGGGUGAAGUCGUAACAAGGUAUC